rnacentral:lncRNA from 1 species
CAGGCUCGGAGGCUGGAGAGGCAGCUGGCAGCAGCGGAUGACACUGAAGCCAGCGGCGGCAGGAUAGCUCUAGUUUCUAAAGCCAG